UUUUUACAAUUGUAGGUUGCUUUGGCGUUAGCAAGUGUUUUCCAACUUUGUGAAACCUGCACGACACAUAAAAAUUGCUCUACAACGCAGGCAUGUUUGGGACCGGCAAACCAAAAAGAAUGUUUUGAGUGUCAUUGCAAUAACACUAGUGAAUGCGAGCUCAGUGAUGAUAGUAAAAGCGUCCGAUGCAACUGUGCAAACUCCGGAGGCUAUACGGGUAUUAGCUGCGACUGUCCG